GAUGAACGCUGGCGGCGUGCCUAAUACAUGCCAGUCGAGCGAACGGACGAGAAGCUUGCUUCUCUGAUGUUAGCGGCGGACGGGUGAGUAACACGUGGAUAACCUACCUAUAAGACUGGGAUAACUUCGGGAAACCGGAGCUAAUACCGGAUAAUAUUUUGAACCGCAUGGUUCAAAAGUGAAAGACGGUCUUGCUGUCACUUAUAGAUGGAUCCGCGCUGCAUUAGCUAGUUGGUAAGGUAACGGCUUACCAAGGCAACGAUGCAUAGCCGACCUGAGAGGGUGAUCGGCCACCCUGGAACUGAGACACGGUCCAGACUCCUACGGGAGGCAGCAGUAGGGAAUCUUCCGCAAUGGGCGAAAGCCUGACGGAGCAACGCCGCGUGAGUGAUGAAGGUCUUCGGAUCGUAAAACUCUGUUAUUAGGGAAGAACAUAUGUGUAAGUAACUGUGCACAUCUUGACGGUACCUAAUCAGAAAGCCACGGCUAACUACGUG
rnacentral:rRNA from 1 species